AAACUACGUUAAACGGUGUGAAUUGCAGAACACGCAGAACACUGGAACUUUGAACGCACAUGGCAGGUUAGUGUUAUAACUAACCUUUGUCUGUGUGAGGGUUGUAAUCAGAGAAUCAAGGUUAAUUUUUGAAGAGCGGGGAGGUUGCCUACUAAAUGUGUGACAUGCCCGCUGAUAGCAUUAAAAACACACUUGUGUUGAGCCUCUGGCCAGCGUCGGAGGUUAACAGCAACUGGACGAGUGUAAAGGAUAGAGGAGUUUGCUGAAAUUGAUACGCUGUUGAGGGCGUAAUCAGAAACUGUAGUUCCCUAUCCUGGAUUUCUUUCUCACAACCUCACAUCAGGCAAGAUUACCCGCUUAAUUUAA
rnacentral:misc_RNA from 1 species